UCGAGUCGGCCUGCGCGGAAGAUGUAACGGGGCUGAAAUAUAGCACCGAAGCUGCGGCAUCAGACGUAAGUCUGUUGGGUAGGGGAGCGUUGUGUAAGCGGAAGAAGGUGUGUUGAGAAGCAUGCUGGACGUAUCAGAAGUGCGAAUGCUGACAUAAGUAACGAUAAAACGGGUGAAAAACCCGUUCGCCGGAAGACCAAGGGUUCCUGUCCAACGUUAAUCGGGGCAGGGUGAGUCGGCCCCUAAGGCGAGGCUGAAGAGCGUAGUCGAUGGGAAACAGGUUAAUAUUCCUGUACUUGGUAAAGCUGCGAUGUGGGGACGGAGUAGGUUAGGUUAUCGCACUGUUGGAUAUGUGCGUUUAAGUUGGUAGGUGGGAAGUUUAGGCAAAUCCGGACUUCCUUAACACUGAG
rnacentral:rRNA from 1 species